rnacentral:snRNA from 1 species
AGAAGUGAGGGCGAUCUGGCUGUGACAUCUGUCACCCCAUUGAUUGCCAGGUUUGAUUCGGCUGAUCUGGCUGACUAGGCGGGUGUCCCCUUCCUCCCUCACCGCUCCAUGUGCAUCCCUCCCAAAGCUGCACGCUUGGUGGAAGAGGACGACCAUCUCAGAUAGAAGGAGUUUACCGAUAUUCGGUCAAGGGUAUAUGAUAGCUGCGCUCCCCUGCUAGAACCUCCAAACUAGCUCAAGCCUCAGAUGAAAAUAUAAUUUGGAAAAUAUUGGAUUGUGCAGAGAUUGAUAGAUUGACAUUGAUAAAGGAGAUACAGAGUAUUACUUAACGU